CCUGUGUAAAGGGUGGAAAUAUAGAAGAUAUGGACUACAAUUGCUCAUGAAUGUUCAGUAGAAAGGCGCACACGUUUUUCACGGUGUUUGCUGGUGAAAAGAAGAUUAAAAUACUGGCUGAACAUCA